rnacentral:rRNA from 1 species
AUGUCUAAGGAAAUGAAAGACAAGUUCGAGAAGUAUUGGACAGAUGUCCAUGGUCUUAUGGCUAUUGCCACCAUCCUCGAUCCACAUUAUAAGAUGCAUAUGUUGAAGGCUUCAUUUGGGUCAUUGUAUGGAACUGAACAUGCAUCCAUAGAAGUUGAUAAAAUAAAGAAGCUAAUGUUAGAUUUGCUGGCUGAAUAUCAAGAUGCAUCUCAGUGUGUUGAAACUUCUGAUGUUGGAAGCACCCCAGUUGUUCAGAAAGGUGGUGUGGAUGAAAUUUUGGGUAUAUUUGAGCAAUACUUGUCUUCACAACCUGUUGCUCCUUCUCAAGUUCGUACAGAAUUGGACACGUACUUGGAUGAGCCCCUUAUCCAUAGAACAGUAGAUUUUGACAUUAUUAAUUGGUGGAAAGUUGGAGGUGCGAAGUACCCUACUUUGCAGAAGAUUGCUCGUGAUAUAUUACCCAUCCCUAUUACAUCUGUGGCAUCGGAGUCAGUCUUUAGUACUAGCGGGAGGUUACUUAGUGCACAUCGCAGUCGGCUUACACCAAGCAUAGCUGAAGCUCUUAUGUGUAUGCAAGCUUGGUCACGAGCGGACAUGUUAGGUAAUAUUUUUAAUUAUCAAUUUGUAUUCUGUUUCGUCGUGCUAUGCAUAAUUUUUUUGCUUCAUCUUUGCAUUAGGUGA